rnacentral:lncRNA from 1 species
CUUCUUUCUUUUUGGAUGAAAGCUCCAUUUAAAAAAUUAAAUUCAGACAAAGAAAGUGAAGCCAAAUAGGCAAUGAAUAUCAAAUCACUCAACAUGCCAUAGCUCAUAAAUACAUUUUUUACUUUUAUUGGGUUAUGACGGUUAAUAUCAAAAUUCAAUACUUAAUUAGCUUUAUACACAAAUAAAUCACAUGAAUCUGCAUAUGAAAAUUCAAUAAAUUUGACCUACUAUUGUCAAAAUAAAACAAACAAAAAAAACAAAGAAUAUUGUGCUAACAAAAAAAUUAUGUUAGAAGGAAAUGUCAGUUACCCCAUUAGUAUUGGCACAACUCAAAGUACAGUUCUAUGCGAUUGAGACAGAAGCAUCUCAUCAAUUGAUUUUCCCUGCAACAAAAAAAAUCAUCUCAUAAGCUAUUGACAC